rnacentral:lncRNA from 1 species
CAGGUGUGCACCCCACAACAGACUCUCAGGCUCCCUUGGUAGACACUAGCUAACAUUUGCCCAGUCCGGGGACACUCACCUUGUUGUAAUGGGUGGCAUCCAGAGUCACGCUGUGCCAGAUCCCUCCGUCCUGAGAGCUACCCUGGUGUAAACCCUUCAGUUGCAGAACAACUUCCUGGUUGUCUUUUACUCUAGCGUUGACCUCACUGUUCUUAGCCUGAGUGUGUAAGAACCAGAGGUGUGCAAAGAGGUCACCAUCAUGUCAGCAUGCAACAGAAACCAUGGCAGAUUCUAGACAUCAAAAGCAAGUGUCUCUCAGCACCACUGAGUUCCCAGAGCGUCUCUACAAGGAUCUCAGUGGUGCUGACCAUGGUUAUAAUCCAGGGAGAUUCCUUUGCAGUUCUGAGUUCAGGGGCAGAAAAACACAUGUUUAAGUUGCUAUAUUGGGGGCAAUAUGUAACCCAGCAAGAGGAAACACAAUGAUCAAUUAUUCACUCAACACCCACAAGGCAGCUGCUGGAAGACACCAGGCACCAUAGCUGGUUGAUUUCUUGUCUUCAUGUCUGUACUGAUGGAGAACUCUGACAGUUGACUUUAAGAUAAAAGCAAACAUGGUUUCUUGGAAUUGAUGGAAGGAAAGGAAUCAGCUAGGGAGGAAAAUGUGUGUGACGAAACCUUCUGUUCUUGGUUGCAGUGUUGGCCAGAGCCCAGAGCCUAGGCAAUGUUUCUGCCAUAGAGUCGCCUCCCCACCAAGGCGCAGCUCUGGGCAGAGAAGAGAUCAGAAUGACUGUAAAUGGAGGCGUCUCCAGCCUUGUUCCUGGCCAGAUGUUCUCAGCUAGAGUUUGAGUCUAUGUGGGGGCCAGGCCUUCUGAUUUUUCUUUUCUUAUAAACAACAGAAACCCAGGAUUUGUCUAAAAUCUUCCAGUUCUCAGAAUAAGCAGGCCAUAAAAGCACACAUGUGGCUGUAUUUGGCCUGGAGCAUCACUCAGAAAUCUCUGGCUAAGGAAGCCAUAAAGGCCACUGGGAGCCACACCUGCAGUGUCUGGCUUGGUAUUCUGUUCUGUUUCUGUGAGACCCCAACUCAGAGCGUUUCUCCGUGGGAGGUAAAGCCCCUGGAUGUUCCCCCAAGUCUGUUUUUCCCGAUCUCUGGGGAUACAGCCAGAAAGAAGCUCUUUGUUCUCUAUAGACAGCAAAAAGCCUUUUUGUUUCUAUACUUACAACCAGAGAUGCGAUAAUUGUAAAAAGACCUAUCCAGGCGCUUGCCUGGCUCCCUGAGCCAAGGACACGGAGAUAGACCUGGAGAGGAGCUGCAGCUCACUCCCCAUCCCUCGCCAGAGAGGAGCUGCAGCCAACUCUCUUCCCAACUCCUCCCAAUUCCUCACUUUUCCUUUAAAAGCCCCCUACUGUUACUGCUGGGGGUCAAACUCCCCUGCCCUGCAUGACAGAAGGAGUUCCUCCUCAGCUAGCUGAUAAUAAAGACUCUUGCAGUUUG